rnacentral:rRNA from 1 species
GUGGGGAAUCUUGCGCAAUGGGCGAAAGCCUGACGCAGCCAUGCCGCGUGAAUGAUGAAGGUCUUAGGAUUGUAAAAUUCUUUCACCGGGGACGAUAAUGACGGUACCCGGAGAAGAAGCUCCGGCUAACUUCGUGCCAGCAGCCGCGGUAAUACGAAGGGGGCUAGCGUUGCUCGGAAUUACUGGGCGUAAAGGGAGCGUAGGCGGAUAGUUUAGUCAGAGGUGAAAGCCCAGGGCUCAACCUUGGAAUUGCCUUUGAUACUGGCUAUCUUGAGUAUGGAAGAGGUAUGUGGAACUCCGAGUGUAGAGGUGAAAUUCGUAGAUAUUCGGAAGAACACCAGUGGCGAAGGCGACAUACUGGUCCAUUACUGACGCUGAGGCUCGAAAGCGUGGGGAGCAAACAGGAUUAGAUACCCUUGUAGUCC